rnacentral:rRNA from 1 species
GGAGGUUACUGCUAUCGGUGUUCGCCUAACCCAUGCGAGUCAUAUGUUCUUCGUGAACAUGGCGUACUGCUCAGUAACACGUGAAUAACCUGCCCUUGGGACCGGCAUAACCCCGGGAAACUGGGGAUAAUUCCGGAUACCGCAUAUAUGCUGGAAUGCUUUAUGCGUGAAAUGGAUUCGUCUGCCCAAGGAUGGGUCUGCGGCCUAUCAGGUAGUAGUGGGUGUAAUGUACCUACUACCCUACAACGGGUACGGGUUGUGAAAGCAAGAGCCCGGAAAUGGAUUCUGAAACAUGAAUCCAGGCCCUACGGGGCGCAGCAGGCGCAAAAACUUUACAAUGCGGGAAACCGUGAUAAGGGGACACCGAGUGCCAGCAACAUUUGUUGGCUGUCCAGGUGUGUAAACUACACCUGUUAGCAAGGGCCGGGCAAAACCGGUGC